GAUGGCCGGACCGGCGCACGGGUGAGUAACGCGUAUGCAACCUGCCCGAUACCGGGGUAUAGCCCAUGGAAACGUGGAUUAACACCCCAUAGUACUUUUAUCCUGCCUGGGAUGGGAGUUAAAUGUUCAAGGUAUCGGAUGGGCAUGCGUCCUAUUAGUUAGUUGGCGGGGUAACAGCCCACCAAGACGAUGAUAGGUAGGGGUUCUGAGAGGAAGGUCCCCCACAUUGGAACUGAGACACGGUCCAA
rnacentral:rRNA from 1 species